GCGAAGGUGGCGGAAUUGGUAGACGCACUGGAUUUAGGUUCCAGCGCCUUAGGGCAUGGGGGUUCGAGUCCCUUCCUUCGCA
rnacentral:tRNA from 1 species